CGGCCAGUCAAGUCCAGGUGCUGUGCAUCGUGCCACGCAGCUGUCCAGUUACUGGCAAGAUAACGGCCAAAGUACGAGCCCCAUCAUCUGGCUGUGAUAGCUGGGGUCCCAGAAAAUGGCUACAUGU
rnacentral:snoRNA from 1 species